CACCCUUGUUACCCGGAUAAUACAAGAUGAUUUGAUAACUCCAACAUGCUACAAACUGGAUGAACUGUCAAACUUGGUAUUCAUUCCAGAAUAGAGAUGGAUGAAAUAGACAACAUUGACGAACAGGUAGAGUUGGCUCCUUUGUUGAAGUUUCAACAACUGAUGAGUACCCUCAUAAAUGUACGGUUUGUAGAAAGGCGUAUAAGCACAGCCAGUCUCUCAUCAGAGAGGUCUUGGUGUACCACUAUGUACACCUAGAUAUUCAGAAUGUGAACAGGGUUUGUGCUAUUAGUGAUUAUAAAAGGUAGUUGACAAUCAAAUACAUGUAUGUACUUUAUAUGGAAUAUAGAGAUCGUGGGGUAAAAAGGGACAGCGGGGGAAAUAAUACUUAUGCACAUGUGUACUUGAAACAAGGAAGGUGCAAGUUGCACACUGUGCCUGUUACCAGCAUAAAAAUGUUAACAGGCUGAUAUCAUCAUGUUUUUACAAAGUAAUUUAUCAAAACAUGUCCACGCACACAAAAGUGGUCAAGCUGUUAUGGGAUGUCAAUGAAAAAAAAUCAAUAUUGGCUAUUAUCAACUUUCAAGGACAACACAUGUAGGGUGUUAUCCAUGGUCAUUUUUGGCUGUUAUCCAUUUUUCAUACAUAGAUCAAUAUAAAUGGUUUUGACAUUAAAACGGCAAAAGUAAACAACUUACUGUAAACUAUGACAGAUAAUGAAAUGGUAGAGUCAUACAUACAGUGAAUUACAAGCGGGUAAAACAAUUCUAAAUAUUUUUUAUGAUUUUUCAAACUAAACUUACAUGGUUUUUGUAAACUAUUUAACAUAUUGUGUAUUGUAUUCACAAAAAUACAGUAAAAUAGUUUGAGUUCCAUGGAAACAAAUCGCCAUUCGUUCUUUUUGCAACAUCUGGGGGUUAAAAUCACUUAUCAAGCCACAGCAACUUACCGAAAAACGUGAAAUUUUCAAAAUAGUUGAUCGGCCAUUUUAUAGCAUGUUGGAGUUAUCACAUCAUCUUGUAUUAUCCGGGUAACAAGGGUG